rnacentral:rRNA from 1 species
CCUACGGGUGGCUGCAGUGGGGAAUCUUGCACAAUGGGGGCAACCCUGAUGCAGCGACGCCGCGUGAGUGAUGAAGCCCUUCGGGGUGUAAAGCUCUUUCGGCAGGGACGAUAAUGACGGUACCUGAAGAAGAAGCUGCGGCUAACUACGUGCCAGCAGCCGCGGUAAUACGUAGGCAGCGAGCGUUGUUCGGAGUUACUGGGCGUAAAGCGUGCGUAGGCGGUGUCUUAAGUUUGUUGUGAAAUCUCCCGGCUUAACCGGGAGGGUGCGGCGAA